rnacentral:rRNA from 1 species
AACGAACGCUGGCGGCAGGCUUAACACAUGCAAGUCGAACGGGCGUAGCAAUACGUCAGUGGCAGACGGGUGAGUAACACGUGGGAACCUUCCUAGGGGUACGGAACAACUCAGGGAAACUUGAGCUAAUACCGUAUACGUCCGUGAGGAGAAAGAUUUAUCGCCCUUAGACGGGCCCGCGUCGGAUUAGCUAGUUGGUGGGUAACGGCCUACCAAGGCGACGAUCCGUAGCUGAUCUGAGAGGAUGAUCAGCCACACUGGGACUGAGACACGGCCCAGACUCCUACGGGAGGCAGCAGUGGGGAAUCUUGGACAAUGGGCGCAAGCCUGAUCCAGCCAUGCCGCGUGAGUGAAGAAGGCCUCGGGUUGUAAAGCUCUUUGUUCAGGGACGAUAAUGACGGUACCUGAAGAAUAAG